rnacentral:rRNA from 1 species
CCCUUAGAUGUUCUGGGCCGCACGCGCGCUACACUGAUGCAUUCAACGAGCCUAUCCUUGACCGACAGGUCCGGGUAAUCUUUGAAUCUGCAUCGUGACGGGGAUAGAUUAUUGCAAUUAUUAAUCUUCAACGAGGAAUGCCUAGUAGGCGCAAGUCAUCAGCUUGCGUCGAUUACGUCCCUGCCCUUUGUACACACCGCCCGUCGCUCCUACCGAUUGGGUGUGCUGGUGAAAUGUUCGGAUCGGCCGUUUGUCGCGGUUUCCGCGUCAUGUGGCUGAGAAGUUCAUUAAACCCUCCCACCUAGAGGAAGGAGAAGGCGGAACA